GGUGGCUCAGUGGUAGAGUGUUUGCCUUGCAUGCAUGAGGUCCUGGGUUAGAUUUCUCAGCACCA
rnacentral:tRNA from 1 species